GACGAACGCUGGCGGCGUGCUUAACACAUGCAAGUCGAACGGAAAGGCCUUUUCGGAGGUACUCGAGUGGCGAACGGGUGAGUAACACGUGGGUGAUCUGCCCUGCACUCUGGGAUAAGCCUGGGAAACUGGGUCUAAUACCGGAUAGGACCGCACUUUAGUGUGUGUGGUGGAAAGUUUUUUCGGUGUAGGUUGAGCCCGCGGCCUAUCAGCUUGUUGGUGGGGUAAUGGCUUACCAAGGCGGCGACGGGUAGCCGGACUGAGCGGUUGGUCGGCCACAUUGGGACUGAGAGACGGCCCAGACUCCUACGGGAGGCAGCAGUGGGGAAUAUUGCACAAUGGGCGCAAGCCUGAUGCAGCGACGCCGCGUGGGGGAUGACGGCCUUCGGGUUGUAAACUCCUUUCGCCAGGGACGAAGCGUUUUGUGACGGUACCUGGAGAAGAAGCACCGGCUAACUACGUG
rnacentral:rRNA from 1 species